rnacentral:lncRNA from 1 species
ACGCCGCAGGGGUCCACUCAGCUGUGCGCGCCUCGCGAGCCGACUGGGGCUAGGGCGAGGCCUCGGGACCGCGGGCAGCCGCGAAGCCCGACUGCCCGGCCCUCGGCUCGGGAGCCAGAUGGACGCCGUGGGCUGAGGAGAGGCCUGAGGAAAAGGUUGCCCCCACCCGCGGGAUUGAGGCGGCCGGGCCGCCGCGGGCCUCUGCGACGCUGAUAGGUCGCGCCUUGGCGGGCGGGGGCAGCUUUGGCGGGAGAUUCGGCCGCGCGCGACGCGGCGCAGGUCGUGGGGGAAGGGUCGCAACAGUUGACAACUACACUGAGUCUUUCCGGUCCCACUGCCCUGGCCGUUGACCGCACACCGGCCACCGACUGAGCCGCUAGUUUCGGUUGCCGCUGCCUCCCUGCCCGUCCAUGACGUCCUCCACUGUGUCGCCGGUGCAUGACGCUCCCACCCUCUGCCUGGAGUUGACUGGGUUUGUAUCCUGAAGAAUCCCUGGCUCAGCAGGAUUACGUGUACUGUUUCCCCAAGAACCAUCCUGUGGGUCAAGAAGCAGAAUGGGGAAAAGGCAGCAAGCACUCACUGUCCGGUUGCUGGGGUGCUCACCUGAGGGCCCAGUGCUGUGGGGAACCCCAGGCUGCUGUCUUGGCUGCCCUAGGUGCUCGGCUGGCAAUUCCUGGGCCACCCUGACCCACAGUGAGGUCAGUAGAGACAGCCUGGUGUCCUCACAGGACGCAGCUGCAAACAUAAGUGAACCGGAAAGGCUGCUCACUCCUUGGCUACCCAUGUGUCCCCACAUCAGUUCCUGCAUCUGGAAGCAGCCGCAGUGGCGACCACACAGUGACUUCCCCCAGGACGUGUCUCUGCCCCUCCCACCCUGCUCCUGCAGAGGGCCCUGGGUCAGGGGUUCUCAAGACCCCAGAGUCCCUAACCAGAAAUCAGAGGGGAAGGUUCCUACUGUACCCGCCUCCCAACCAAUGGGUUUUUCCUCCUUAUUCUGAACAAAGCACGCCACGCACGCAAUUCCACCUCUAAGGUGGCUUCUCCAAUACCCACAGGCCAUUCUCCAACUAUGACAAAAGUUUGGUUUUAAUAUCGGGCAACACAAAACACAGUACAUCACUUCAGACUAAAU